UUCCCCCUUUAGAUUUUGAUUCUGGGUCCCGGACGAACGGUUGGGCGGCGGGCUUAACCCCUGCAAUUUGGACGAAGAUUUUUCGGAAGGAGGAUUUUUCCCACGGAAGUUGGAGAAAAGUGCCGGACGGUUGAGUAAGGCGUGAGAACCUUCCCUUGAGGAGGGGGACAACAGUUGGAAACGACUGCUAUUACCGCAUGAAGCAUAGGGUUCGCAUGAUUCUUAUGNAAAAGAUUUAUCGCUUCAAGAUGGCUUCGCGUCUGAUUAGCUAGUUGGCGGGGUAACGCCCCACCAAGGCGACGAUCAGUAGCCGGACUGAGAGGUGAACGGGCCACAUUGGGACUGAGAUACGGCCCAGACUCUUACGGGAGGCAGCAGUGGGGAAUAUUGGGCAAUGGGCGCAAGCCUGACCCAGCAACGCCGCGUGAAGGAAGAAGGCUUUCGGGUUGUAAACUUCUUUUAAGAGGGAAGAGCAGAAGACGGUACCUCUAGAAUAAGCCACGGCUAACUACGUGCCAGCAGCCGCGGUAAUACGUAGGUGGCAAGCGUUGUCCGGAUUUACUGGGUGUAAAGGGCGUGCAGCCGGGUCUGCAAGUCAGAUGUGAAAUCCAUGGGCUCAACCCAUGAACUGCAUUUGAAACUGUAGGUCUUGAGUGUCGGAGGGGCAAUCGGAAUUCCUAGCGUAGCGGUGAAAUGCGUAGAUAUUAGGAGGAACACCAGUGGCGAAGGCGGAUUGCUGGACGAUAACUGACGGUGAGGCGCGAAAGUGUGGGGAGCAAACAGGAUUAGAUACCCUGGUAGUCCACACUGUAAACGAUGAAUACUAGGUGUGCGGGGACUGACCCCCUGCGUGCCGCAGUAAACACAAUA
rnacentral:rRNA from 1 species